UUGGCAGCUCUGGAGGCUGGUGUUCUCUGUCUACAGUCUGCAGAACAAGUUCAGCAUGUGGAACAGCAGGGCAGGAUUCUCCAUUGCACCUGCCUGUGUGUCUAAACCUUGGCCUGUAGGGACCAUCUCUAAGGGCUAAGGGGUAGUUCAGCAUUACAUGCUCAUUCAUUCCUUGGCCUCG
rnacentral:sRNA from 1 species